AUCUCCUCGUGGAGAUCUCUCUUUGGUGAAGCUUUUUCCUGCAAACCUGGAAUCUUCUGAUAUGGCAUGGUUUGACCUGGUUGUGGUCCAAGGGUUUAUCUUGGGAUGUUAACAUCAAGAUCCAAGUGUUUUCCAGACCUUUGCUUGCCUGUGCAUCUUCAGAGCAAGCCGUUCCUUUGCCUCAAAGCCAAGCUGUAUCAAAGGACCAGUGAAAGACAUCUAACACAGUCACCUACCUACUCCUUUCACUUGGCAAAGACAGCUUUGACUGCAACUGUGUGCCAUGGACUGUCUCCUAAAACAAAGCAAUGCUUCAUGUAGGAGAAGUGUCUAAAGAAAGAAACAAAGUUGGCCCAAAGUGUUGCAUGCGGUGCCCUUGAGAUUCUUGUGAUGCUGGAGGAUGUUUCCUAAAAGAAGGAUUGUGUGACAAGAGUAACUUUGUGAAUAAGGCAAUGCUCUGACUUUGUGAAGUGAUCCUGAGGCUUUCUUAGCCUUUUAGUUUAUAUGAAAUUUGAAAAAAAAAAAAAAAAAAAAACAAACAAAAAAAAAAAAGAAAAAAAACAAACCUCUGUAUGUUGGCCACAGAGCUUCCAGUUUUUUAGAUAGGAAAAAUGGGAUUUAUCUUUAGCGUUAGUCAUGUGCAGUGCUACUUUUCUCCAUCCAUCAGUCCUGGAAUAAAAGGGAUUUCCCUUCAGAAGUAUCUAUCUAGAUCUUCAUAUGUGGACUUCAAAAGAAUUUUCGUAUGUAAAUAUGCAUAUUGUAGGUAUCUGACGUUGAGCAAAUGAAUCCCACAUGAAGUGCUCACUGUGCUGAACUGAAAUCUGGGAGUCUGUCACGUUAUACUUUAGAGAUCUUUGCUAGUAUAGCAGUAUUAAGCCCUUGGGUAAUACAUUACUGUUUAAAUUAGUGCAAAUCUUCUAAGGAUUACUUUCUUUCUUCUUGUAGAAUUUGACUAGAUUAGGGAGGUGUAUUAUGACAAUGCUGUAUUGCGACUUGGUUUUAUCUGAAGGAAGGACUUAAAUUUCUACUGUCCCUGAACUAUGAACGGCUGUGCAUUGAUAUGGCCAGGGUGCCUUUGUGUUAAUAUUGUGUGGCCAGAAUGUCAG
rnacentral:lncRNA from 1 species